AUUGAACGCUGGCGGCAUGCCUUACACAUGCAAGUCGAACGGCAGCGCGGACUUCGGUCUGGCGGCGAGUGGCGAACGGGUGAGUAAUACAUCGGAACGUACCCUGUUGUGGGGGAUAACUAGUCGAAAGAUUAGCUAAUACCGCAUACGACCUGAGGGUGAAAGUGGGGGACCGCAAGGCCUCACGCAGCAGGAGCGGCCGAUGUCUGAUUAGCUAGUUGGUGGGGUAAAGGCCCACCAAGGCGACGAUCAGUAGCUGGUCUGAGAGGACGAUCAGCCACACGGGGACUGAGACACGGCCCAGACUCCUACGGGAGGCAGCAGUGGGGAAUUUUGGACAAUGGGGGCAACCCUGAUCCAGCAAUGCCGCGUGUGUGAAGAAGGCCUUCGGGUUGUAAAGCACUUUUGUCCGGAAAGAAAUCGCGCUGGUUAAUACCUGGCGUGGAUGACGGUACCGGAAGAAUAAGCACCGGCUAACUACGUGCCAGCCGCCGCAGUAACAC
rnacentral:rRNA from 1 species